GCCCCGAUAGUUCAACGGCAGAACAACAGAAUCGUGGAUCUGAAGAUAGGAGUUCGAUUCUCCUUCGGGGCU
rnacentral:tRNA from 1 species